rnacentral:lncRNA from 1 species
CGAACUCGAUGACCCGCCGCUCCGCCGUCCUCAGCCCGAAGUACCGACGCUGUUCCCCGCCAUCCAAAAGGUGGCGCCCCGGCCACGCCGCCACGUCCCUGCACACUCCCGCCACGACGUCUACACGUGCGCCCGCCCGAAAGGUCAGCGCCGCCGGCCGCUUUGAGGAAUUACGACAAACAGGUGGCGGGCAUGCAUAUACUUACUCUUCUUCUUCUUCGUGAUCGUCCCGGCCACGUGCUUGCUCUUCAUCUUCAGCAUCACCUGCCACACACAGACGACUUCCCUCUCACUCAGUAUGGAUGGAUGGAUGGAUGGAUGGACAGAUAGUCAGCGCGUUUUAUUACAUAGAUUUCUACGAGGGGAUGGAGGAAGAGAGGGGCUGACCUGGCCCGUCUUGUUGAUGUAGACGGAGACCACCUUCCAGUGCAGAUCACCUGCGGAGGGAGGGAGGACGGCGGGGUCAACGCGGCUACUAGAAAGUCAACAUGCAGCAGCGGCAGCGGCGGCGGCGGCGGCUUCUUACCUUUGCGGGUGCGCUUCAGGAGCUCGGUCCCCC